rnacentral:rRNA from 1 species
GAUGAACGCUGGCGGCGUGCCUAAUACAUGCCAGUCGAGCGAACGGACGAGAAGCUUGCUUCUCUGAUGUUAGCGGCGGACGGGUGAGUAACACGUGGAUAACCUACCUAUAAGACUGGGAUAACUUCGGGAAACCGGAGCUAAUACCGGAUAAUAUUUUGAACCGCAUGGUUCAAAAGUGAAAGACGGUCUUGCUGUCACUUAUAGAUGGAUCCGCGCUGCAUUAGCUAGUUGGUAAGGUAACGGCUUACCAAGGCAACGAUGCAUAGCCGACCUGAGAGGGUGAUCGUCCACACUGGAACUGGGACACGGUCCAGACUCCUACGGGAGGCAGCAGUAGGGAAUCUUCCGCAAUGGGCGAAAGCCUGACGGAGCAACGCCGCGUGAGUGAUGAAGGUCUUCGGAUCGUAAAACUCUGUUAUUAGGGAAGAACAUAUGUGUAAGUAACUGUGCACAUCUUGACGGUACCUAAUCAGAAAGCCACGGCUAACUACGUG